AUGGAAGCCUAUAAUAAAUAUGUCUGUGCGGGGGUACAUUUUCUGACCUUGUUCUCAAGCGAUUCCUAAUGAAAAUAAAUUGUUCGAUUGAAUUAAAUAUUGACCAUGUACAUGUAUCAUAAUAUUGAUAUGUUUUUAAACUACUAUAUUUGCCUAUAACAAUGAAAAUGGAAAUUGAAUGAUGGAUACAUGUUCAUGCAGGUAUUGGAGAAAAUUUGAAAGGACAAUGCAACCUUUGACUGAACCAAGCGUGGAACAAAAUGGCACUUUGCGCAAAUUUCAAUCAAAAUCAGUUCGUGGUUUGAGCAUAGCCGUGAUUGUUCUGGGCAUUCUGUCGUUUGGUGUUGGUGCAGCCAUCCUCACUUUUGCCCUUCUCCAAACAUGCUAUUGGAAUGAUUACCAGAGACGAUGUGACUAUGAAAGCACAUAUCAAUCAGCUGGAAUUUGGUCUGGACUUGCUUAUAUCGCCAGUGGAGUGAUUGGAUUGUUUCAUCAAGGCGUAAAACAACAUGUUUUAUAGUUACCUUUGAUGAUCAUGUCAGUUGUAACCGCCUGGAUUGCCACCUGCAGCAUUAUGAUAAGUGUCAUGUCACAAACUGAUUCAGACCGGACCGGACCAGAUAAAUACUCAUAUCCGUGGACUUUACGCAUUUUGGAUGGCUGCAUCACUCUGCUGUCUUUCAUAGUAUUCAUUAUCUCAUGGGUGAAAUUUGGAUUUGCCUGUCAUGCUGUUUGCUGCAAUGGAAAGGAAGCAUAUCCCAAAAUAAAGCAAUAUGUUAAUAAAGGUUACCAACCACUACAGAGUCAACCUAUGAUGUAUGCCAAUAGUUCUGGCGCGUCUUUGACACCUGCUGGCGGAAUGCAGUUUUCUACUCCACCCGUGCCACAACCAAUGGAACCAAUCUACUUGGUUCAAGGUCGUCAGGUAAUUGGAGUGCUUCCCCAAAAUAUUGGUUCUGUAAACCAAUCACAAAUGCCUGGAGGAGCAACUAAUGAUGUCGAUAGUAAACCCACCUUUCAAGACUCCCAGCAUGUGUAGGCAUGUCGCUCAUCUACUGCUUUUUGCUGAAUUUAUUUACUUAUACACAAAUGUAUUAUAAGGUACAAAUAUUGACAAAAGAAACAGCCACCUUUGCCUAAAGUUCAUAUAGAUUGUAUAUAACUUCUAAAAUGCAAUAAGUUCCUUCUUUUAUGAUAGUUUUUCUUUAUCUGUGUGUCUGGGAUUAGUCUUUAAAAACGUUACAUUACUGUCUUGAACCAUAAUGCAUAUCUUGUGUUCAAAUAAUUAUAAUAUAUCCAUUAUACACAACUUAAAAAUAUAUAAAUUCAUGAAGAUAUAUUGCAUUAUUAUCUGUGUCUUGACUGAAAAAUGUAGUGGAACCGUCUAUUUAAUGGCCAAAAGCAAUAGCUGCUUAUUAUAAAGUUGGGGCAUUGCACAAGUAUGGUGAAACCCUAUUUUGCUGUCCCUUUCCAAA